rnacentral:rRNA from 1 species
AACGAACGCUGGCGGCAUGCCUAACACAUGCAAGUCGAACGAGACCUUCGGGUCUAGUGGCGCACGGGUGCGUAACGCGUGGGAACCUGCCCUUAGGUUCGGAAUAACUCCCCGAAAGGGGUGCUAAUACCGGAUAAUGUCUUCGGACCAAAGAUUUAUCGCCUUUGGUUGGGCCCGCGUUGGAUUAGCUAGUUGGUAGGGUAAAAGCCUACCAAGGCGACGAUCCAUAGCUGGUCUGAGAGGAUGAUCAGCCACACUGGGACUGAGACACGGCCCAGACUCCUACGGGAGGCAGCAGUGGGGAAUAUUGGACCAUGGGCGAAAGCCUGAUCCAGCAAUGCCGCGUGAGUGAUGAAGGCCUUAGGGUUGUAAAGCUCUUUUACCCGGGAUGAUAAUGACAGUACCGGGAGAAUAAGCUCCGGCUAACUCCGUG